rnacentral:rRNA from 1 species
GACGAACGCUGGCGGCGUGCUUAACACAUGCAAGUCGAGCGGAAAGGCCACUUCGGUGGUACUCGAGCGGCGAACGGGUGAGUAACACGUGAGUAAUCUGCCCUUCACUUCGGGAUAGCUCCGGGAAACCGGGAUUAAUACCGGAUAUGACUACCUUCGGCAUCGGGGGUGGUGGAAAGUUUUUUCGGUGGGGGAUGUGCUCGCGGUCUAUUAGCUUGAUGGUGGGGUAAUGGCCUACCAUGGCUUCGACGGGUAGCCGGCCUGAGAGGGUGACCGGCCACACUGGGACUGAGACACGGCCCAGACUCCUACGGGAGGCAGCAGUGGGGAAUAUUGGACAAUGGGCGGAAGCCUGAUCCAGCAACGCCGCGUGAGGGAUGACGGCCUUCGGGUUGUAAACCUCUUUCAGCACAGACGAAGCGAAAGUGGCGGUAUGUGCAGAAGAAGGACCGGCCAACUACGUGCCAGCAGCCGCCGUAAAAC